NGGGGAGAUAGGGAAGAGGAGAUUAAGGAUAGUCACUCCACUCCAUAGAUAGUGCACACAGAUUCUUCUUUCAUUUUCCAUUCCUUUCGGGUCGGAAACGCGGGCUGCUAGUGGGGCUGUGCCCAUUCUCCCUCUUCUUCCGCUUUACAACCGGAAUAAGGAACCUUAGAAUUCACCCUACCUGUCGAUGAAAAAAUGGGAUUUGAGAGGAGCUGAAAGCCACUUGACUCUAAGGAGAGGACCACCAGCUAGCGGAUCAGAAAGAUUUGUAUGGAAUGUCCUACUCCUGCCUGAGCUUUCCGAUCAACCAAUCCCCUAUUUCAGGGACAUCUGUGUUAGGUAGGCCCAGGGAUCACUGAUUAGUCGAAUGAGCCCAUCUCUCUGGCCUAUCAUUUGUUGGUCGAUCCGGCUGGCGGCUCCUGCAUCUCCUGCCUCUCUAUUGGGGCCCCUUUUUUUAGACAAGUUUGCCGCUAGGAGUCCCUAGAUUCGAAUUAAUAAUCAAUAGAAGUCCCAAUAGAAGUUGACUGACCUGGCUCUUCAAUCGACGAUCUACUGCUCCCUCUUAAUAGCAGAUGCCCAUGCUUUGAUUCGAAAGCCCUAGCCAUCCCCAGGUAUUCAGUGUCUGGUUCGAUAGGACCAGGAAGAGAGGACUCUUUUUUUUCCUCCUCCCUUCAGUCCAGUUUGAACCCGUCCCAACAACGAACACCUUCCUACUGCAAGGUGAGGCUCUGCCCUUCCCCUAGAAUCCACUCCGGGUCGGAGGAGCAACUAGUCAAACUUCUUGAGCAGCCGAGAUAUUGAACAACAAACAUUUGAAACAAUUCCUUGCCUCACCCUGAGAUGAGAGGGAAGGUCGAUUUGACUCGAAUCCUGGACUUGAUCUUGAAUCCUACACCGGUUAAUGAUGCGAUGGGGGAAGUUUUUCUUUUUUCAUCAAUGCUGGCCCAGUCGAGGCUCGUCCAUGCCCAA
rnacentral:lncRNA from 1 species